GACGAACGCUGGCGGCGUGCUUAACACAUGCAAGUCGAACGGUAAGGCCCUUCGGGGUACACGAGCGGCGGACGGGUGAGUAACGCGUAGGAAUGUACCCCAAAGUGAGGGAUAAGCACCGGAAACGGUGUCUAAUACCGCAUAUGGUCUAAGGAUUAAAGCUUCGGCGCUUUGGGAACAGCCUGCGUCUGAUUAGCUAGUUGGUAAGGUAACGGCUUACCAAGGCGACGAUCAGUAGCUGGUUUGAGAGGAUGAUCAGCCACACUGGGACUGAGACACGGCCCAGACUCCUACGGGAGGCAGCAGUAGGGAAUUUUCCACAAUGGACGAAAGUCUGAUGGAGCGACGCCGCGUGCAGGAUGAAGGCUUUCGGGUCGUAAACUGCUUUUAUCUGUGAAGAUUAUGACGGUAGCAGAUGAAUAAGGAUCGGCUAAUUCCGUGCCAGCCGCCGCCGUAA
rnacentral:rRNA from 1 species